rnacentral:lncRNA from 1 species
CAGAAAACACAUAGGCUUCCCUGUCUAUCAGACUAAGAUUUGAACCCUGAAGCUGCUGCCUACUGCUUGCGUGAUCUUGGUUUCACCUAUUCUCAAGCAACCUGGAGGUCCAUGGAUUGCAGCCAUCUGUGGGUGUUGUGGAGGCUGAGUCUGUGUCAUGCACCAUGAGGCUGGGUGCAGAAGGGAGUUGUUUUGCUGGAGAGGGAGGUUUUCUGACCUCUCAACGCCCACACCUCAACCCAUCAGAAGUCAUAACUCAAGAAAUGAUAACAGAUUAGCUGUGAGCGAACAUCUGCCACCAAUCCUCCUCUUUUUGCUGAGGAGGACCGGCCCUGAGCUAACAUCCAUGCCCAUCUUCCUCUACUUUAUACAUGAGAUGCCUGCCAUGGCAUGGCUUGUGAAACAAGUGUAAGGUCUGCACUGGGGAUCCGAACCGGCAAACCCUGGGCCGCCGAAGUGGAAUGUGCGAACUUAACCAAUGAGCCACUGGGCUGGCCCCUGAGGAGAUUUCUAAGCAAAGUGUUGAAGGAGUGGCUUUGUUCCUCUUGAAUGCUUAUAGUAAAAUGUGAAAGGAAAGAGAUGAAAUGAAGAAGAGAUCGUUCAGCAAAAAGGAAACAGAACUUGAAGAUUUGGAAAAAUUCUCAGGCUGUCCAUAUUGCAAAAAGUGAAAAAGCUUGAGAAGAGAACUCUGAAAGUAUGGCUGAACAACCCUUUGAGGAAGAGAUCAUGGAUGUGACUCAUAGACUUAAUCAGGCAUUUCAACAGGAACCAGGAACAGAGAUGCAUUUAUACCAGCAAAUACACUGCCAGUUUGAACUAAAGGAGACCAAAAAAAAAAAGAGAGAGACAAAAAUGAAGGGAGACUGUCAGACUUCUCAGGUCCUAUAGGACUGGACCAUAGAGCUAUUGAGGUGUGAACAUGUUGUGUUCUUCAAGAAAAGGGAAGAAGGACUCUGAAGGUGAUUCAGAGAUGAUCAGGGCC